UUCACAUGGUUCAGUAUUGAAUGGAAAUAUAUAACCAAAUUCUGUAGUAUUUUAAAAUAAAAUCAUAAACCUGUAAAACGGUUUUUAAAAGAACACAAAUAUAUUGAUUUUCGCUUCUAACUUAAUAAUACGUUCCAGGCAUGAUUUCAGAAUGUAAAUAAAGUCAACAUUAUACUCAACUCCGUCAUGUGAAAACAUGUUCCUCUUUCGCAUCGUUUCUUUUCCCCCGGCUAAUGCCUCCAACGCCUGUACGUACAAUAAACAUAGCAGCAACUGCACAUAUACCUAUGUGACCAACUUCAAUCCGACGUAACUGCGAGCACCUUCGAUACUAAUACAUUUAAAUCCCAAACUUUAUAUAGUACCUUUAAACCCCACCCAUAAAAACCGCCAAAACUUUCCUCGUGCCUCCUGCACCUAACAUCAAACUUAUAAAUAGUACAUACUGUUACAAAACCAGUAUCCAAACUAGUUAUACUAGUUCCCAUCUGUAAAUAUUAACUACAAAUAGCAAACGGGAAAAACCCUAUUUCAAACGAAAUAAAAUACAUGUAUCAA
rnacentral:lncRNA from 1 species